rnacentral:rRNA from 1 species
UUGAUCCUGGCUCAGAACGAACGCUGGCGGCAUGCCUAACACAUGCAAGUCGAACGGGAUCCGGACUUCGGUUCGGUGAGAGUGGCGGACGGGUGAGUAACGCGUGGGAACCUGCCCAAUGGUCUGGGAUAACCGCGGGAAACUGCGGCUAAUACCGGAUAAGCCCGAGAGGGGAAAGAUUUAUCGCCGAUGGAGGGGCCCGCGUCCGAUUAGGUAGUUGGUGAGGUAACGGCUCACCAAGCCGACGAUCGGUAGCUGGUCUGAGAGGAUGAUCAGCCACACUGGGACUGAGAUACGGCCCAGACUCCUACGGGAGGCAGCAGUGGGGAAUAUUGGACAAUGGGGGCAACCCUGAUCCAGCAAUGCCGCGUGAGUGAUGAAGGCCUUAGGGUUGUAAAG